rnacentral:rRNA from 1 species
UACGGGGGGGGCAAGCGUUGUUCGGAAUUACUGGGCGUAAAGGGCGCGUAGGCAGUUUGCUAAGUUGGAUGUGAAAACUCUGGGCUUAACCCAGAGCCUGCAUUCAAAACUGACAGGCUAGAGUUCUGGAGGGGAUAGCGGAAUUCCUGGUGUAGCGGUGAAAUGCGUAGAUAUCAGGAGGAACACCGGUGGCGAAGGCGGCUAUCUGGACAGAAACUGACGCUGAGGCGCGAAAGCUAGGGGAG